rnacentral:rRNA from 1 species
AGAUUGAACGCUAGCGGGAUGCUUUACACAUGCAAGUCGAACGGCAGCGCGGACUUCGGUCUGGCGGCGAGUGGCGAACGGGUGAGUAAUAUAUCGGAACGUGCCCAGUAGCGGGGGAUAACUACGCGAAAGCGUGGCCAAUACCGCAUACGCCCUACGGGGGAAAGGGGGGGAUUCUUUCGAGAACCUCUCACUAUUGGAGCGGCCGAUAUCAGAUUAGCUAGUUGGUGAGGUAAAGGCUCACCAAGGCGACGAUCUGUAGCUGGUUUGAGAGGACGACCAGCCACACUGGGGACUGAGACACGGCCCAGACUCCUACGGGAGGCAGCAGUGGGGAAUUUGGACAAUGGGGGAAACCCUGAUCCAGCCAUCCCGCGUGUGCGAUGAAGGCCUUCGGGUUGUAAAGCCCUUUUGUGGUAAAGAAAGCAUUACGGUUAAUACCGGUGUUCGUGACGGUACCCAAAGAAUAACGCACCGCUAACUCGCGCCAGCACGCCGC